rnacentral:tmRNA from 1 species
GGGGAUGUUUUGGUUUUGACAGCAUCAGACAUUGGACGGUAAGCACGCCGGGCGUCGGAGGUUUGCCCGUUAAUCUCAGCUUCCAAACAAUUAGUUGGCAACAACUCUUACGCACUCGCUGCCUAGUCUACCAAGUAGAACGGCUUAAUCUCCGGGGCCAAGGCUGCUCCGGCGACGAGUAUCCCGACAGACUUUUCCGACUGUUCUGUCCUGUCAAAUGGGGUAUCAUUUCAAACGGUCUGCACGACACCGACUCGGCUGAGUGUCGCCAAGCCCAAGCCGAUAAGCUGCAUCUGGCCCGCCUUCCGGCAGGUUGCAGUCGAAAACCAAAGGACGGAUAAGCGUGUAGAAAGCCACCCGGUGCGGUGUUUGGACGGCGGUUCGAGUCCGCCCAUCUCCACA